ensembl:lncRNA
GUAGCUUUCAUUGCGACAGGAAACGGUUAUAUGUGGUUACGCUGUCAUUACAUAUACUUAUUAUUAGUACACUGAACUUUUCUUCGAGGCCUACGUGGACAAAAAUUUUCGGUUUACCCACCAACAAUAAAAUGGAAAGGACCUGCACUUUUUCAGUUUUUGGAAAGGCACGGACAAUUUCAAAAUCCCUGCCAAAUAUAUUAGAGGUCAUUCACAAGUAUGCUGAACCCGGGACCAGUCUAAAGACCUACAGUAUUCACAAAGUGCAUGGCUUUUGGGAAAAUGUCUCAAGAGAUUUGGGAGUGCCUAAUACAUGUCUUAAUAGGAAAAAAAUUCUCAAAGCAGUCCUGCAGUAUGAAAAGACCACAUCAGGGGUAGAGGGUCCCUUACUACAGACUGAUUUUCCUACUGCAGAGACAACACUUGGAGAUGAUGUUCCUUCCAUUAAUGAGGAAGACGUUGUUGCGCCAAAGUCUCCACAAUCUGUAGGAAAUGUACCUUUACCUUCAAGAAAAGAGGAUGCACUUCAAAAAACUGCAGAGAGCGGCAUCCAUACCCCAGACACACAAUCCCUCGAGAGUGACUCUAAAUCUUCAUCUUCAAAUGCAAAUGCUAAGAGGAAUGAAUCAGAUGAAUCAGCUAAGGUCAACACAGACAGUAGCAGUUCAGGAGAAAGAUUUUUCACAUCUGGUUUGCCACAGCAGAAAACUUUCUUUUUCAUAAAUGAGAAUGAAUGGAAGGAGUUACGGCAACAUCAGUCAGGAAGACUAUUUAAAGGACUGCAGUGGACAAAUAUAAUUGCCAGUGGAAUCAGAACCCUUAAUCCGUACUGCAGUUUUGGAUUUCGGAGACACAGUGUGAAAAAACUCUCUUCAAGAUCAAAGGCACCGGUUUUCAGGUGUAUGGGGUACUGCAGAUUUCAGGACUGCCCUGUCACUGUGGAUGUGGUGGUUUAUGAUGAAGAGACACUGAAAGCAGAAGUCGUUUUUAAAGGAGGUGAGGUCUGCCAUAAUAACAAAGAGCUGAAAAGGCAGCCUGUGUGUGCACAAUCACGUCAAAGUACUGGAGAACUCCUCAAAAACAAAUUACCAAGGAGCUUGUACUUGGAGUCUUUACAGAAAGUGCCACAAAAGCUGAUCCAACCUGGCAACAGGGAUGAUGCUCCAACAAAAGAAGUCUUGAAAAACAUUGCAUGGUCUGAAAGAAAAGCCAGUAGAGCAGAUCCCAACGAGUUGAUGAGCUUACAAAAGAUAAUUCAACAGUAUCAGGACACUGAAAAGGAUGUACUGCAGAAGAUUCUGAUGCAUCCAAAGGGCAUAAUGCUAUGGUCUAAGAAAACCUUGUCAGUUUUUCAUC